UUACAAUAUUUGCCACUCAAUUUUUCCUUGUUUUUUUCUCAAUUUUUUUUUAGAAUUUAUUUUCUAAUUUACACACCACUUAUCUUUAGUUUUCACCCAAAAACCCAGCAUAAGGGCUAUAUAGGACAUCCCAUUUAAAUAAGGAACCAAGGGAUGUGAGAAGGACCAAGAGGCACCAACCUUUGGCGCUCCACUUUCUCAUGCGGUGAAUAAAUUCAUCAUAUAUUAUUUUUGGCAUAGAAGAGCUUUCACAUAGAAGGACUCCUCCUCUUCUAUGCCUCAUAAAAAUCUCAUUAAAAAUUAAUGUUAAAUCAUAAGAGAUCUGGUUGAGUAUUUAAGGCA
rnacentral:lncRNA from 1 species